GGAUCUGUGACAAAAAGAGCAGAAUGAGCAAUGAGAUUUUAGAAAUCCUUAUUUCAUGUUCAGUCCCCCUCCUUUUUAGCCUUCUUUGAUUUAUGUCAGUUUUGUGCAGACUGGCAAAACUCUUCUACAUGUUUCUACAAUAUUAGAUUUUGGGCUAAUGCAAAGGGCUAUGAGAGCCUAGACUGGCUAACCUUCUGGACACACUACAAGGCCUUAUCCGUUCACUGGGGGGAUUGGCGUUGGAACUGCAUCAUUAGUUGCUUUUCCGCUGAUGUGCUUUAGCCGUUGUCAUGGUCUUAGCCUCUGGUUGCAUGCAACCACAGGCUCUGGGGGG